GAGUAUUCGAAACUUAUUUUCCAUUGAGAGGUAUAUCUUAUAGCAAAUAAAUGUAUAGUACAGUAAAUAAAGUAUCAUAUAUGAAAUAAAAAAAAAGAAAGAAAACAGGCAAAUUCCAUAGAGUAAAAAAUGCAGACUUCGAAACAGCAAGUUUGGCGUAUCCUGCGAAAGUUCGGCACAGACCAAGUUCAGCAUAGUAAGGCGAAGAAGACGAAGCGAGGGAAGAGGACAAGAUGUUGUUGGUCGCAGAUAAAAGGGAACUGCAGCAAGGCGACUGCGGCUUAGCAUGACAAUGCAGGUGCCUCAUCCCACGUCAAAACGCAGCGUGGCGCCACGACGAGAUAGGUACCAGACCGAUCGACUGGUUUGUAAUUGUUUAAGAGGAUUAGCCAGAGUAAAGUUUACGCGUGUCCAAGCUGGAGAGGGAGGAGAAAGAAGCCCAGUCGCUGAUAUUUAUCCGAACAUUAGACUCGGCUAAACUCAAAUUUACCAGCCUGAUCCCGGAAAAUAACAUUAAAAGUGACUGGAAUCGUUUGAACGUCGAAUCACACGCCUCAUCAACCGACAGUCGCCUCUUUCAGACGAAUUCUUGUGGUUCGUCGCUUUGCAGAUAUCUGAAGAAUUUCUAUAUCGAUUCUAACUUCGGAAGAGGUAUUUAGGAAAGAAGAUUCAAGUUCAAGAAGCAGCUGUCGGUUUAAUUUCAGUAACAGCCGUUUAAAUUACGAAGGACAAAGUUGGACAGUCGAAUCUUGAUGCAAGACUAGCAAACUUGCAGUUUGCAGCAGAAGAGAUUUGCAGUUUUAUUAUGAGGAGCCAUUUUCUUAUGAAAAUUUCUCAAAAUCAAUAGGAUAAAGGUCAAAUCAAUUUUAUACUACAAUAUGCUUUAAUUUCUAAAAAAUGAAACUCUAACUUCAAGUUCGAGAAGCAACGUGUCUGUCUAAUUUCAGUAACAGCUGUUUAAAUUACGAAGGGCAAAGUUGGAGAGUCAAGUCUUGACGCAAGAUUAGCAGACACUACGAAGAAAUUUGCGGAGUUUUAUCAUGAGAAGCCAUUUUCUUAUGAAAAUAUUUUAAAAUCAAUAGGAUAGAGGCAACAUUAUCAUCAAACCCGAAUUAACGAAUAUCGACGUACGAGGAGAGCGAGAGGACCGAUGCACGAGGGCGUUCAGGUGAAAAAGAUCGGCCGACAGUGAGAAUCAGAACUAUGAGACGUGAGGGAAGUUCGAUCAAGAUGAAGAUUUCCUGAUCUGAUGCACGGCACAGAACGGAUGUCGCGGGUGGCCGCAGGUGGCGCCCUCGAUAUAAGCUCUUCUGACUGAACCGCUGAUAUAGGACCGCUCUCCUAAAACUUUCACGGCGGAAUGUGUCAUCCUGUCACUGAACCCACAUGGGGUAAGAGACGUCCCAUGGGCCCGUCAACCGCGUCCCUCCAACUCCUAUACCUUUCUCCGUCUUUUUCUCUCGCUUCCUCCGAAUCUACUUCAUCCAAGUUAAACGUUGUUUCGUACACUGUUAUUACGUAACUUUGUGGGAACUUCAUUGCCAACGAUCACAUUUAUAUCUGCUAUUUGUAGCUAUUAAUCCACUGAAAUGCACAGUCGUCUAGCAGGCAUAUCGUCUAACAUCCAAGGGAUGUUAAGGAUAGAACCGAAUUUUAACACUCUGACUGCCACGUGGGUCAUAUAUGACCCGCCACGGUUUCUCCUGCGACGCCACUGUGGUCAUUGGUGACCGGAGUGCUUCAACUUCUUACAAUUGUAAAAAUUGUAUGAAAAUUGACAGUUAGGGCAUUUUAGGGUACGCUUGCCCUUCUUUCUUCUGCGUUUCGCGUCGCAAUCUUUGUCGAAUAAGUAUAUUUAACGGCUCUGGUGAAUGGCACUGUGUAAGGUGCGUUGCGAAUGCCAUUCUAAAAGCUGAUAUCUUGGUUUUUGUUGCUUGUUUAUAGAGUAUCAUCGCGUUUGAAAUUGAUGUAUUUAACAAUAACUCUAAAGCUAAUUUUAUAUACCAUUUGAGGGUUCUAUGUGUUGUAGAAUAUGCUAUUGUAGUAUCGGAAAAAGGAUAGGAUUAGGAUAAUUUAGAUUUGUAAAAUUCUCCUAAUACUAUCUAUUUAAGAUAAAUAAAAAUAACAGAGAUUAAUUAGACAGAGAACGAUAAAUGUUCAACUUGAACUAAAACACAAAAGUCUUAUUCCACUCGAAUCACUCUCACAACUCUAUAACUCUAACAACUCGAUCUCUCUACAACGCUAGCAACUCUACAACUCUAGUCUUCGGCUUUUGCACUCGCACGCUCUCGCUUCUCAACUCACACUAUGCGCCUUUUGCAUUCGUUCUCGCCGGCGUCUCAACUAACACUGUCUUUAGCAUCUCUUUGUCUUCUCCCGUCCUAUCGGACACGUGUCCCGAAAACGCCCGUGCCAGGGUCACGCAGGCCUUUUCCUCGAAACUGUUCACUUGAAAGGACCGACGACACAUUGAUGUACCCGACGAUGCCGCGGCUCUCGCGACAUUGUAUACGGUUCGGCCGAUAUCUUAGGCCUUCUGUCCACGAUACUACACUAUUAUUUGAUCUGAUAAAUCUACAGCACAUUUUCCUCUGUUGGUAAUCUACCAUUGGUUUAUCGCAAACAUAAUUUUUUUUCCGGACCUCUACCAUUUCAGCCGAAUGUUUCGUCGAGAUCAUAAAAAUAAUCGUAAUACCGUUUACUAGUAUCUUCUACACGAUUCAACGAUAUAUUCUGCACGUUUUGCUUGCGACGAAACAACGAAUGCGAAUGUUUUGUUGAAAUAAAAGAAGCCUUGUUAUAAUACGUUGCUAUGAACUGUUAGCAAGGCGCCACGGUGAUUACCCGUGACGACCAAUAAGAUAAACUGUCCAUUGGCGAAGAAUGUUGUCUUACAUCAUUAAUUUAUUAUUAUUUUGCUAUUAUAUGUUUUGAAUAAUAAAAAUACUUCCUCAACGAAACAUGUGUUAAAAGAAAGUCCGCUCAGAAAUGAAAAUUUAUAAAAUUUCUGAACAUAUCAAGGAAUACUAAUAUUAGACAUUAUAUUACAUAAUAUAAUAUUUAGACAUUUGAUAUGGAACAAUUAGUAAUGAGUUAAGUGUUGAAGUACCAGACAAAGCAAAGUUAUUUUGUAAUAAACAUUCUUAAAAUCUGUGAAUACACAUACAUUCAUAUACACAGAGAAAAAACGUAAAUGUGUUGUAGGAUGACUAGGAAAGAAAGCUGAGUUUGUGAUGGGAAUAUUUAGACGUUUGAUAUGUAACAAUUAAUACAACAAUGAGUUAAGGUUUGAAAAACAAAACAAUGCAAAGCAGAAAGCAGAGUUAUUUUGUAAUAAAUAUUCGUGAAAUCUGUGAAUACACAUACAUUCAUACACACAGAGAAAAAACGUAAAUGUUUUGUAGGAUGACUAGGAAAGAAAGCUGAGUUUGUGAUGGGAAUAUUUAGACGUUUGAUAUGGAACAAUUAGUACAACAAUGAGUUAAGGUUUGAAAGACAAAACAAUGCAAAGCAGAAAGCAGAGUUAUUUUGUAAUAAACAUUCUUAAAAUCUGUGAAUACACAUACAUUCAUACACACAGAGAAAAAACGUAAAUGUGUUGUAGAAUGAUUGAGGUCA
rnacentral:lncRNA from 1 species